UCAAAACUGAAUUUCUGAACCUCUCUGUGGUCCUGUUUUCUCAUCUGUACAAUGGAGACAAUGACCUGCUUCCCAGGGCUGCUGAGGGCCAGAGGGGCAACAGAGAAAAGCACGGAAGGUUCUCUUUGUGAACACACCCCAUGGCCUUUUAAUGUGUUUUGGUUUCGUACAUAGAGCUGGAUGGAAACCCACGUUGCGAGUAACAGCGAAGAGUGACUCAGUACAUAUCACACGCCAGAAAACUGAUUGGUGCAAAGAUAUCUCAGAUUUAACAGUGAAAGCCAGAUGUACUUAGGAAACAACUCACCACCUGCAGGCAGCCUGAAGAGUUCCCCAACUGCAGAACAGAAAUUGUAAGUGCC